rnacentral:rRNA from 1 species
GCAAGUCGAGCGAUGAAACACCUUCGGGUGUGAAUUAGCGGCGAACGGGUGAGGAACACGUGAAGAAUCUGCCUUCAACUCUGGGAUAACUCCGGGAAACCGGGGCUAAUACCGGAUAUGAGCCUCGAUCGCAUGAUUGGGGCUGGAAAGGUUUUUCGGUUGAAGAUGACUUCGCGGCCUAUCAGCUUGUUGGUGAGGUAAUGGCUCACCAAGGCGACGACGGGUAGCCGGCCUGAGAGGGCGACCGGCCACACUGGGACUUGAGACACGGUCCAGACUCAAUACGGGAGGCAGCCAGUGGGGAAUAUUGGGCAAUGGAGGAAACUCUGACCCAGCGACGCCGCGUGAGGGAUGAAGGCCUUCGGGUUGUAAACCUUCUUCAGUAGGGGAAGAAGCGAAAGGUGACGGUACCUACAGAAGAAGCACCGGUUAACUAUGUGCCAGCAGCCCG